GGGACUGGUGAGGUGAAAUAGCAGCAGAGAAGGCUGGCCGGCAUGCUGCCUGCCUGGACAGACUGACCAAGGCCACCAGCCUCAACCCGGAGCAGGGGCACGCUGCUGGCCUCUUUCCCUGAAGCCAAUCCAAUCAAGAGAUGAGCAUCCAAGAGAAAAUAGUACCACUUUAGACUCAGGCAAAGCACUGUCUUGGAGGACACCCAGAAAAACACACUCUGCCCAAAUGUAAUGCUCCUUCUGCAAAAGUCGGUCCACUCAAAGAAUUCGACUCCAUUAAUAUCUCAAUGUCUCCAAACAAACAUUUGAUUAUCAUAUCUCAUCAAUACCUGCUCUCAAGGACAAUCGUCCAUCAUUAUCGAUGUAUUUUGCCUUACCCUUUUAAUUGGGAUGAUAAUGUCUAGUGUAAACAAAGUCUUCUUUGCUAAUUUCAGUCGUGAACAAUGAAUAGCCCUUUUUUUCUUUUCCUUUUCCCCAGGGUUCUCUGGAUUGCAUUUACUCUGGUUCCUGAGGUGUGGAAAAGACAUUAUUAAAAUGAAUGCCAUUGCUUUUAUAGUAAAAAAUUGGGAAAUAGAAAAAUACACGAAGCUACAUAAGGAACUUAGAACGGCGAUGGGACAAGAUGGGUGGGAGAGGAGGAGAGAGGGAGAGAGAAGGGUUGAGGGAAAGAUUGAGAGAGUUAGUCGUUUCCUCCAUGUGGCUCAACCAUGAAAACUUGAGUGGAAUGGGAAGCUAUCUUCUGCCCAUCACGUGGUUGAGUAGCAGAGCAAGACAGUUCACCAAGAAAGAAGAAUGAAGGGACCCUCAGAGAGAAACUAAGGUGAGAGGCAGCCAGAGUUUACUCUGGGCUCUGUG
rnacentral:lncRNA from 1 species